AAACUUGGAUUUUGUAAGUAGUUGCGAAUGAACACAAAUUUGAUCACUUUGGCAAUCUGUACACAUUGCUGUGUAACAAUUUGUAUACGUUGGCACAGUGCUAUCAAAGCUGCAUGCAAGUGUUUUUUUUGAAAGGAUACAACAUGGGAUGUGAUAUUCAUGUGUGUGUGCCUGCUUUGUCCACAGCCUGUGCUGUAUGAAUCACAUUUCUUGCAACUGAAAUGCUAAUGGCAUGGUAAAGUUCAUGUGACAUGACACAAGCUUGAGAUUCAUGAUGUGCAAGUACCAUGAGGGAAAUGUGAAAAGGACUUUGGAAAGAGAAUUAAAUAAAGCCUGCAUUUGCUGACAAUGAAAGCAAGUGUGGAUGUUCAUGUAAUUGUUACUGCAUCAAUCAAUGUUCAUCUUGGUUACUGCAUGCUUUAUAUUACAGCUCAGAACAUGAAGUGUGUGUAACAGCUCUGCUUUGAUUUUUCCCACAUGGGAUCAGUUGAAACAUUGUGAGAGCACUCUUCAGUUUCCUUAUGUACCCACCAGCUUUGUCCACUCGCGUGUUGGCACACAUGUAAUGAUGAUGUGUUUAUGCAAGAUACUUCUGUGCUCAACAACAUGUUGUGUCAAUCCUCACUUGACCCGUCUUGAAACACGGACCAAGGAGUCUGGCAAGUGUGCAAACCAACUUUCUGUAGAGAUUUGUAUGUAAUGAACAUGUUUGUAUCAUUAUUGCACCACCAAUCAAUAUUCAGCUCGUUGCUUAUUUGAAUGUGAGCAUUGUUGCUAGGACCCGAAAGAUGGUGAACUAUGCUUGCAUAACAUGAGUUCAGAGGAAACUCUGAUGGAAGUUUGUAUCGGUACUGACGUGCAAAUCGUUCGUCACAACUGGGUAU
rnacentral:rRNA from 1 species